rnacentral:rRNA from 1 species
GUUUGAUCCUGGCUCAGGACGAACGCUGGCGGCGUGCCUAAUACAUGCAAGUCGAGCGGACGGAUGGGAGCUUGCUCCCUGAAGUCAGCGGCGGACGGGUGAGUAACACGUGGGCAACCUGCCUGUAAGACUGGGAUAACUUCGGGAAACCGGAGCUAAUACCGGAUAAUUCUUUCCCUCACAUGAGGGAAAGCUGAAAGAUGGUUUCGGCUAUCACUUACAGAUGGGCCCGCGGCGCAUUAGCUAGUUGGUGAGGUAACGGCUCACCAAGGCAACGAUGCGUAGCCGACCUGAGAGGGUGAUCGGCCACACUGGGACUGAGACACGGCCCAGACUCCUACGGGAGGCAGCAGUAGGGAAUCUUCCGCAAUGGACGAAAGUCUGACGGAGCAACGCCGCGUGAGUGAUGAAGGUUUUCGGAUCGUAAAACUCUGUUGUUAGGGAAGAACAAGUACCGGAGUAACUGCCGGUACCUUGACGGUACCUAACCAGAAAGCCACGGC